rnacentral:snoRNA from 1 species
AGGGCAGUGAUGAGACGCGCAGGGGUACGGACCUCAGCUGAUGAUGGGAGCUGAGUGCUGUUGUCUGACUUCAGAUCAGUAGGCAUGUGGUCAACUGACUGAAGGACACCAGCAUGAAACUGUCGCAAUUACUGAGCCCU